GAUCCUGGCUCAGGAUGAACGCUAGCUACAGGCUUAACACAUGCAAGUCGAGGGGCAGCAUUUCAGUUUGCUUGCAAACUGGAGAUGGCGACCGGCGCACGGGUGAGUAACACGUAUCCAACCUGCCGAUAACUCGGGGAUAGCCUUUCGAAAGAAAGAUUAAUACCCGAUGGUAUAAUUAGACCGCAUGGUCUUGUUAUUAAAGAAUUUCGGUUAUCGAUGGGGAGUGCGUUCCAUUAGGCAGUUGG
rnacentral:rRNA from 1 species